rnacentral:rRNA from 1 species
CGGCACGGGUGAGUAACACGUAUCCAACCUGCCGUCUACUCUUGGACAGCCUUCUGAAAGGAAGAUUAAUACAAGAUGGCAUCAUGAGUCCGCAUGUUCACAUGAUUAAAGGUAUUCCGGUAGACGAUGGGGAUGCGUUCCAUUAGAUAGUAGGCGGGGUAACGACCCACCUAGUCUUCGAUGGAUAGGGGUUCUGAGAGGAAGGUCCCCCACAUUGGAACUGAGACACGGUCCAA